rnacentral:rRNA from 1 species
AACGAACGCUGGCGGCAGGCUUAACACAUGCAAGUCGAACGCGUGUAGCAAUACGUUAGUGGCAGACGGGUGAGUAACGCGUGGGAAUAUGCCCUUAGUUCGGAAUAACCAAGGGAAACUUUGGCUAAUACCGGAUAAUCCCGAGAGGGGAAAGAUUUAUCGCUGAAGGAGUAGCCCGCGUCUGAUUAGCUAGUUGGUGAGGUAAUGGCUCACCAAGGCGACGAUCAGUAGCUGGUCUGAGAGGAUGAUCAGCCACACUGGGACUGAGACACGGCCCAGACUCCUACGGGAGGCAGCAGUGGGGAAUAUUGGACAAUGGGGGCAACCCUGAUCCAGCCAUGCCGCGUGAGUGAUGAAGGCCUUAGGGUUGUAAAACUCUUUUAUCCGGGAAGAUAAUGACUGUACCGGAAGAAUAAGCCCCGGCUAACUUCGUGCCAGCAGCCGCCGUAA